GAUGAACGCUGGCGGCGUGCCUAAUACAUGCAAGUCGAGCGAACAGACGAGGAGCUUGCUCCUCUGACGUUAGCGGCGGACGGGUGAGUAACACGUGGAUAACCUACCUAUAAGACUGGGAUAACUUCGGGAAACCGGAGCUAAUACCGGAUAAUAUAUUGAACCGCAUGGUUCAAUAGUGAAAGACGGAUUUGCUGUCACUUAUAGAUGGAUCCGCGCCGCAUUAGCUAGUUGGUAAGGUAACGGCUUACCAAGGCAACGAUGCGUAGCCGACCUGAGAGGGUGAUCGGCCACACUGGAACUGAGACACGGUCCAGACUCCUACGGGAGGCAGCAGUAGGGAAUCUUCCGCAAUGGGCGAAAGCCUGACGGAGCAACGCCGCGUGAGUGAUGAAGGUCUUCGGAUCGUAAAACUCUGUUAUUAGGGAAGAACAAAUGUGUAAGUAACUAUGCACGUCUUGACGGUACCUAAUCAGAAAGCCACGGCUAACUACGUG
rnacentral:rRNA from 1 species